rnacentral:rRNA from 1 species
CGCCAACUCGCGAGAGGGAGCAAAUCUCAGAAAGCCGUUCUCAGUCCGGAUCGAAGUCUGCAACUCGACUUCGUGAAGUCGGAAUCGCUAGUAAUCGCGAAUCAGAAUGUCGCGGUGAAUACGUUCCCGGGCCUUGUACACACCGCCCGUCACACCAUGGGAGUUGGUUGCACCAGAAGUAGGUAGUCUAACCUUCGGGAGGACGCUUACAACGGUGUGGUUCAUGACUGGGGUGAAGUCGUAACAAGGUAGCUGUAGGGGAACCUGUAGCUGGAUCACCUCCUAA